GGAGGUGUAGCUCAGUGGUAGAGUGCUUGUUUAGCAUGCAUGAGGCUCUGGGUUCAAUCCCCAGCACUGCCA